rnacentral:rRNA from 1 species
GAGUUUGAUCAUGGCUCAGGACGAACGCUGGCGGCGUGCUUAACACAUGCAAGUCGAACGGUCUACCCUGACGGAAACCUUCGGGUUGAAGACAGGACUAGAUAGUGGCGGACGGGUGAGUAACACGUGAAUAAUCUGUCCUCAAGUACAGGAUAACCAGGCGAAAGUCGGGCUAAUCCUGUUUAAGCUGAGAGUGUGGCAUCACACAAUCAGAAAAGGUGGCAUUAGCCAUUGUUUGAGGAGGAGUUCGCGGUAGAUUAGCUAGCUGGUGAGGUAAUGGCUCACCAGGGCAACAAUCUAUAGCUGGUCUGAGAGGACGAUCAGUCACACUGGAACUGAGACACGGUCCAGACUCCUACGGGAGGCAGCAGUGGGGAAUCUUCCACAAUGGGCGCAAGCCUGAUGGAGCAACGCCGCGUGAGUGAAGAAGGUCUUCGGAUUGUAAAGCUCUGUCCUUAGGGAAGAACCGUGGGUAUAGUAAAUGCUACCCACCUGACGGUACCUUUGGAGGAAGCACUGGCUAACUACGUGCCAGCAGCCGCGGUAA